rnacentral:lncRNA from 1 species
AAAAAACAUAGUGCCACUAGGUGGGCCAUAAAAAUUUGCUAUCUUCUGCACUUCAGGCAAAAAUACCACCAUGAAAUCACUAAGGCAGAAAGAAACAAGAUAAAACUUAUGUAAUAAUGAUUUACUGUAACAACCAUAUUGUCUAUAGCACAAUCUUACUAAUGCAUGUUUGUUAUUACAUGAAAAUGUGAUAUAAAAAUGUUCAAAUGACAGAGAUCUUAAAUGCUGCAAAUUAAAAUCAAAAUUGCAUAGCUCCUUUUAAAUGAACAAAAACAAUCUCCAUUAAAAUAUAUUUUUUUGUCAAAAAAUAUUAGAAAAUAUUCAUGAACUGUUAACAAAGUGGAUAUACAUAAAAUUUGUAAACAUUGAUAUGUAUAACUUACAACCAUACUGUACACGUCUUUUGGAUAUCGUUCUCAUUAUAUUUCUGAGGUCUACAGUAAAAACACUUGAACAUUUUCCAUAUAUAUAUACAGGCCAUAUCAAUAAUAUUUUUUUCAAGAACUUCUUUCUUUAAAUCAUAACUGCUCAGGGUAACAGUUAGAUGCAGGUGAAUUGUAUGCCAGUUCUCUUUGAGAAAUACUAAAACUAUCAAGUUUGUUUUAGUAGCUUUGGAUAAAAGGUAAAUUUUAAAUUUUCUUUUUUUCCAAAGGGAACUUUUCUUUCAGUUGAACUAUACACAAUGUGGAUAGAGAUAAGUCAUCAGACUGAGAAUAAAAGAGUCAUUAUUUUGUUCCUGCUCUUUUUAAUACACUAUGUAUACAUGGUAUGAAAUUUAUUGCUCUAAUGUUUACCCUUCUAAAUGUACAAGUAAAAUGUAUUAUGGCACAAUAAAAAUGAUUCAAUUUGAUUGAAAUUUUAAAAAGAAAAUUGAAAUUAAGAUUGCAAGGGCAGAAUUAUGCUCAUUCGUGUAGUUUAAAAAGAAAUCAUAGCUUACAUACAUAGUCUGAGACUUAUUCACUCUCGUUUUGAAUCAAUUCUGUAUAGAGAACUGUGAUAUUUCCAUAGGAAACACAAUUGACAUGAUUGAAAAAUCUUUCUAAACAUUAAGCUUUCUUAUUGACAUUUUUACAGUUUACAAAAAUCUGUAAACUAUACUUUUUCUGCAUUUGUCACCUGGUAAGAUAAACCAAUAACAGAAGAGUGAACAAAUUGAUAACUAACAAUUAAGGUGUGGAACAUUGUCUGGUCCAAAAUUAACAGGAGCCUAUUUAUAGUCAUAGAACUACACAAGAAGCAUUAAUGUCUAUGGUCUAUCAAUAUCUAAAGAGCUACACAUAGAAUUAUUAAUUGAGUUUUGAACUAAGUAUGGCACUCUUUGAACACACCUUAAAAAAUUAAACUGAGUAUCUGUUAACAAAAUACAUGUAUUGUAUGCAAGAUAUAAAAAUAAAGAGUAUUUUGUAUUUCUAGGUAUAAAAAGCAUUAUACAAUGAGUUUUUUUUUAAUAUUUAGCCUCAAAUAAAACUAAAAUAAUAACAUAAUGAGUAUCCUUCUUAAACAUUUGAGAUUCUUGAUACAACAACUAACAUUAUGAGAC